UGAUUGUCUCUCUGUGUCUGUCUGUCUGUCUCUCUCUCUCUCUUUCUCUGCCCCCCCCCCCCACACACACACACACUUCUCCCUCUGUCCAAAGAUUUUAAGAACUUGAACUUGAUCAGCUCAAAGGUCCACUUUUCCCAUGAGCUACCUGCUACUUCCAUUGGAAAUUCGCACAAAGAACUCUCUGACCCAGGGGAGCACGGGGUUGUACGCUGUGUGGAGGGUCAGAUACAUGCUUCUUUUGGAUAUCUGGGUUUCCGGGGUUUUAAUCAUCAGAUUUCAUGAAGCCACUCUAGUCUGUUGGGAGAAUAGCGGUCCAAAGAGCCCCCACAAUUAACACUUUUGUCAACUCAGAUUCGAAGCCAGCGUAAAAUAAUACACUUCCUACUCUCCUGUUUAAAGGCAAAUAAAUCAGAGAAACUUGAGGACAUAUGAAACAUUGGAUGACUACAAACGUGCUUUACACUUGGGCUCUGCGGUGCUUACACAUGGAGCAACUAAGAACUGGAACCCUGGGACGUCAGAUGGAAUCUUUAGUUUGUAUGUAAUUACAUACAGAUGGGGGAGGUGCUUUAAGUGGCUCUUUUGUUUUUUAAUCAUCUCAAAUAUGCAGCCAGCCAGCCAGCCAGUAGCACUAAGGGUCAUAACCUGAUGGGAAACAGGAAAUCUAAGGUAGAGGUUUUUGAGUGCCUGGGCUCAGGCAUUUUUGUUUGUUUGUUUCUGUUGCUGGCUCUAACAUGGGGGCCUCUGUGGUCAGUUUUCCGGUAAGUGAGCAUCUAACUGGCAGGUGUUGUGAUCAUGCAGUUUGCCCAAAGAGACAAGGGGUGUGGAUUUAUUGCUUUCUGUCAAGAAAAGGCAAUCUCAUACCUGUAAAUUUCCUCAACAUUUUUUUUUUUGGUCAAUUAAACUGAGACCCUUAAUGUUACUUUAAUGUAAAAUUGUAUAGUUUUGACUGUGACAUACUUUAUUAAUUUUAAGUAAUUAGUGCUUAAGCCUUCAGAACUGUUGGUAUCAAGAGUAGGACUUUAAAGUGGUGUUAACUUAACAAUGCUCAUUCAUUCCAACUCACUCAGCUGUAGUCAGGGACAGAGCAGAAUAGCUCUCUUACAUGCCCCUGACAUUAAAUCCUUGGUGUGUUCAAAGAAUAAAUAAAGAGAAAUUGAAGCUGGUUCAAGGUUAGAGUCAUAUCCUUGACAACUUUUUAAAAAUUUUUUUAUUAGGAAAUUAAUAUUAGCCUUUUUCAUUCUGGCUGAAAGAAAAUUAUUAGAGGAUUACUUGAGUGUGAAAUUGAAUAGUACUUUGCCCCUGCAUACUAAAGAGGUGGGCUGGGGACUUGACACAUUUAACAAGUUUCCCUCAAGGUUUCGAUUUGGAGAAAACAAAUUCAACAUUUCCUUUGGAGAGUCUGCCCUUGUCACUUGCUGCAUGGAUCGGAUGACGUAGGUUAGUGUCUGAUUUUGGAAUCCCAAUGAAAUAACUUUCAAACAAUUUGUCCCCAUGAUUAAAGGUGGAAUGGUAUCCAAUUUCCCCCCUAAUCCUUCAGUUUAAGCUCAUAAAUUGUAGGUGAAUGUGGAAUGAAAUCAUCUGUGAUAUAUUAUGUUCAUUUACCAAACGAGCUCUUUUGAUGUUGCCUGUUUUUAUGUAAAACAUGUUCUUAAACUAAUAAAGUCAUAUCUCUUGGUGUACAAAUU
rnacentral:lncRNA from 1 species